CCACAACAUGAAUUUAGCUGUUAACAAGAAAAAUUUUCCUUACAUAUUUAGCUAGUUACCACCAGGUGGUAGGCCUAAUUCAUUUAAAGUAAAUGGCGAGUUAAGCCUACCAUUUCUCAUGUUCAUUUUCUUGUUUUCUUACAGUUUGAAGACUUGAAUAAUGUUAGCCUACUGAGUUUCUUGUGAAGAUUCAGUGGAAGUGUGUACAUGGAGUUUAGCAGGGUUGUUGGCAAGAAUCUGAAGCAGGAGUUCUAUGAAGGUCUGGAUCGACACAGUCCUCGUCUCAUCAAGAUUUUCAGAUCCAAGAGAGGGCGUAUUGGAGAGCAGUUAUCACAGCUUUCACAGCAAACCAAGUCUUCAGAGCCAACUGACAUACAGACUUUGGUGCUCAGAGGACUCCCUGCUAUCCUUGGUGAUGACCCUGCAAACUUCUUCAAAGCAUGCUUAGACUCGGAUGAUGAGGACUCAUUCAGCCACCUCCCUAUCGGGAUCCUAUUUGUUCAGCAUGAAGGUUCUGCACAACCAACCGACCUGCAUCUGAGUCCAGCCUCCAUUGAGAUCAUCAUUGAGGGAAAAGUUGUGAUGGGAAACGUUCAAGAUCUACUGCAGGCUAUGUGCAUGCUUUUUGGUCUCACGUAUGCACUACACCACAACUACCCCAAGUGUAUGAAGCUCACAUUUUAGUUCAUCCAACAGGUACUUCUCACCUUGGGCCAGAAUCAACUGAAACCCAAGUUACAAACAUUAAAAAACCAGCUUGCAAUGUAAAGAAAUACAGGCUAUGUCCAGGCUACUGCAACCUGGGUGUUUUUUUUUUUUUU